rnacentral:rRNA from 1 species
GGGAUAUUGCACAAUGGGGGAAACCCUGAUGCAGCGACGCCGCGUGGGUGAAGAAGGCUUUCGGGUCGUAAAACCCUUUUACAGGUGACGAGAAAGGACGGUAGCCUGUGAAUAAGUCUCGGCUAACUACGUGCCAGCAGCCGCGGUAAAACGUAGGAGACGAGCGUUAUCCGGAAUUAUUGGGCGUAAAGGGCUCGUAGGCGGUUUGUCGCGUCGGGAGUGAAAACUCAGGGCUUAACCCUGAG